rnacentral:lncRNA from 1 species
UAUAAACAUCAUAUGUAUAUAUUUGGUAUUUCAUGCCUUCGUGAUGAAGUGUUUUUGUUUCAUAUUGUCUAUCAUUUAAAUGAAUGUUUUAGUCCAGAAUAUUUGAGUCUAAUUUGGAAGAACUUCAUUCUUUCUCUUUAACACACCAUGUUAAUAUCAUGCAUGUCAAUAAAUUUUACACUAGACUACUUGUUAUCUCUAAGACAAACAUUAUGAUAAUCCAGGAAGAAGACAAGAUGAUCAGGAAAAAACUUCAAGAACUAAAGGAAGAAGUAAGAAGCAUGUUUGUCACUACUAAUAAAUUUUCAAAAAAACUAAGUUUAAUUGAUUCAAUCCAACGUUUAGGCUUGUCUUACCAUUUUGAUGAUGAAAUAAAUGAAGUUUUAAUGUUAAUGAAAAAUCCUUGCAAUGUUGACGACGAACAUGAGGAUCUUUAUAUUACGGCUCUUAGAUUCCGAUUACUGCGACAACAAAGGUUUCUUUGUUUCAUGUGGUAAGUGAUCCUCUCCAACCAAUUUUUACCAAUAUAUUUACUUUUUUCUAGUAGGAACUUUAGAUUCAAAAUAUUAACAUAUAUAACAACAUUUAAAAAAAUUGUAAAUAUAGUAAAAUCCGUCAAAACCUAUUACUGAUCAACUGCGUGUGGCAAAUAUUGGUCUAUCUAUAUUUACAAUUUCUUUAAAAAAUAUUUAUAUACUCUUAAUUAUUAUUCUUAAAAUUUCUUCCAAAAUAUAGCAAUACUCAUUUUUAACUCCUUACCCUUUCCAUAAAUUCUCUCAAUAUUUUGUAUUCAAUGUUAGUUUUUAAUAAUCCUUGAAUUUAGACCAUUUCUAAAGUUCAAAAGGCUCAAAAAUUGAAAUUCCAAUUUUUUUGUCUAGAGUUUACAAACGUUUAAAAAUGCAUUAUAGAUAUCUUGUUAAAAGUGUAAUAAUUUAGUAAGAUUUGGUGGAAAAAACUCAGUUAUUAACAACCUUUUGUUGAAUUAACUUAUAAAAACAGAGAUAUUCAAUAAGUUUACGAAUGAAAGGGGAGAAUUGAAAGAAUCAAUAAGAAAGGAUGAAAAUAGUUUAUUAAGUUUGUAUGAAGCGUCCCAUUUGAGAAUGAAAGGAGAAAAUAUAUUGGAUGAAGCAUUAGCUUUCACAACUACUCAUCUUAAAGCAAUGGCCAUGGAUUCCAACUCUCCAUUCUUUGAAGAAGCAAAAUAUGCAUUGAAGUGGCCAAUUUAUAAAGCUGUGCAAAGGUUUAUGGCUAGGCACUAUAUCUCUCUCUAUAGCAACAAUCCAUUGAAGAACAAUAAUGCUUUGCUCACUAUAAUUCUCUCCAAAAACUUUACCAGUAAGAACUAAGUGAACUUUCAAGGUGAAACUUCCUAUUGAUCAGCAUGUUCCUAGAUUCGUUGAACUUUGUCAAUUUUCACUCGUUUCCAAGGCCUUCUUGGAUUAACUGUAUAGAGAAAUAGCAGCCUUUUUCGAUAAAAUCAUUUUAUUUAAACUUCUUUCAUAAAAAUUGAAAAAUUAUUUUAAAUUACAAAAAUACUAAAAAUAUUUAUAAAUACAACAAAAUAUAGCUACAAUCUAUUUGCAAUAGACAACUAUCUAUUUCUCUAUCAAUAAACACAUAUAGUAGUCUAUCGUAGAUAAACGAUAACUUUUAGUUAUAUUUAUAAAUAUUUUAGUUCAUUUUGACUAUAUUUAAAAAUAAUCCUAAAAGCUAUUUAAAAUUAACUUUGAUAAUGUUUCAUAAACUACUUACCAUCGUGAGUGGUCGUUAAACGCUACCAUUUUUUUUCGAAAUGAAUUAUUUUCAAAUUAUUUUAUUAUAUUUUUUAAUACAAUUGUUUUCAAAACUAAAGGUUAGAAAGGUUAAACCAAACACCCCCACUACCUUACAAAAUCAAUAAUAUAAUUUUGUGAAUGUAAAUAUGUUAGGCGGUGGAAUAAGCAUAAGUUCGUGUAAUAAUUACAUUUUGCAAGGCAUGGUGGUGGUGGAGUGCUAUCUUUGGGCAUUAUUGGAAGCAUAUCUAUUUAAUUCCUAUUUCAACCAAAUCAAAUAAUCUUUACAAUAAACGUCCAAUAAAUUAAAUAUAAUUAAAUAAAGCUAAGAUAAUUAUCUCUAAAAAUUAUCUUAGAUUUUAAGCGCGUUGCAGUUCGAGAGCACGAUAGAUUGGAGUACUUCCUUAUGGAACUCUAAUGGAAAAUUAAUAGACAUCUACUGAACUAGUUGUGGGUCUCUUACUGAGUAUAUAUGUUUAUACUCACUCUUUUUAUAUUUAAUUUUUCAGGCCAAGGUGAGGUAGAGGAAAAGUGGCGAAUGACAAGAAGUGACUGUGACUUGCCACAGGAAAUAUCUUAUGUUGCUUCUGCCUUUCAUGUUUUCAAUAUUUGAUUUUUAGUAUUUUAUUGAAUGUUAUCAAACUCAUUGAAUAAUUUUAUGUUAUUUUUCUUUAAAAGUUAGAUAGGGCAUGAACACUAGGACUAAAUUUUCUAGUAUUUAAUUCCAUCUUUCCAAAUUAUGAACUAUGAAAGAGGAUUUUAAUUGAGAAAUAUUUUUUUAAAAUACAAAAUUUGUUAUUUAUUUAAUUAGUAAUGACCUCAGUUUAGUAUAAAAAGUUGAGUCGUUAUACCAUCGACACACAAUAAUUAAGGGUACCUCAUCACAUGAUCUUAAUGGAAAGUUAGCAGACAGUUAGCGGGACUAGUAAUGGAUCUCUUACUGGGUAUAUUUCAUAUACUCACUUUUUUCAUGUUUAUUAUUUCAGGCAAAGGUAGAGGUAGAGAAAGCUCGCGAGCAACAGAAAAGGCCCAUGACAUGGUAUAUGGGGACUCAGUUUUGCUUUCACUUUUCAUUGUUCAUUUUCGGUGUUUUGAGCUUAAACAUUUUGAUCUAUUACUUUUUAUUACAUUUAAAGUUGUAAAACAAGUGGCAAUAUGUUUUCAUGGUAUUUUUAAUGUAAACUUAGUUAUUUUUUUUCAGGAAAGUGUCAAAAUUGUUAUUUAUCUUUAAGGUAAUGACCCAACUCAUCUUAGUAUAAAGAAUUGGAUCGUUACAUAGUAAACUAGUCUGUAUGAUUUUAUCUUUAUAUACCAAUACUUUCUAUCAGAAUGUUUAACUAGAAAAAAUAUCUUUUAUUAACAAAGAUACUAACUUUUCAUUAAAAUAAAUAAGCUUACAAACCAAAAAGAGCAAAAAGUGUAUACCUCAAAUUAGGUAAUGUUUACAUGUGGCCAAAUCUUUUACGUAGCCUCUCUACACCAUCCAAUUUUAAUGAAACGCUCUCCACUCCUAUAUCAACUAUUUCUUCACGUUAAUUCUUAUGAUUAUGACAUGCUCCUUAUCAAAUUUUUAGAAAAGGAUACUGGAUAGUCAGUAUGCGCACACAAGCAUCCCUACUAGGUGGACAACCUUUUAAUGUCCUCAUCAUUCCUAAGAUUAUAUUCAAUAAAGAACCGAAGAAAAAUGUUCAAAUUACAGGAAGGCUAGAAUCACACCCUUUUUAGUCUUUGUAUUUAUGGAGCAUAUGUUGUUGAUUAAUGCCAGAAAGUUAUCAUCAGUGUGCUCCCAAUCAAAAUGAGUCUUUUUUUCUUGUAUAGAAUGCACCAAUUGGGAUUGAGACAAUGAUUUUUUAGUCUCCCUUGAAUAGUCUCCACAGUGGAAAUACCUUUGUAUGCAGUUGUUGAGGGGAAAAAUUUGCAUUUUUUAGGGACUUUUGAUUUCCAUAAGUUCUUGAAUGAAGCUGUUAAUUCUGAGGCAGCAACAUGGGUGACAUUUGUGAGGAUCAGCAUAAAGUAAAAAUUUUAGAUUAUAUCAAUAAUAAACAUUGAUGGCCACUGAUAUGCUUCUAUCAACAGCAUUGAAAAGUCGUGACAGAAGUCUAUCAAUAGCUGUCACUGAAAGAAUAAAAAAAUUUGCUAUAACUUAUAAAUAUUUUAAUUUAUUUUGUUAUUUUUAAAAAUGCUUCUAAAAUAUAUACUGAAUCUACAAUAGGUCAAAUAUCACGUGGUAUGUUUAUGUCAAACGUUGUACACCAAUAAUUUCAGUGAAUGACUGUACACUCCUAACACCAAUAAUAUCUUCACCUUCUUAUCACUAUCCAAUGCAUCUUAUAAAUUUCAUUAACAUAGUUAAACUCACAACACAAGCAAAACCCUAUCUAUCAAAAGAAGCAUAUAACUAUAUAUUUUACCAAUCUUCAUGGAAAGAAAAAUGUCAUUUGAAGAAGUUGAAUCAAACUCUAUGACAUCAAAUUCUAAUAGCUCCUUCAAUGAUAAUGGUGUUCCUCAUCGAUCAGAAAAGUUUCAAUCAAGUUCUUUGGGACAUUAUUUCCUUUCUCAUCAACCCAAAACUUUGGUAUGUCCAAUAUAAACAUCAUAUGUAUAUAUUUGGUAUUUCAUGCCUUCGUGAUGAAGUGUUUUUGUUUCAUAUUGUCUAUCAUUUAAAUGAAUGUUUUAGUCCAGAAUAUUUGAGUCUAAUUUGGAAGAACUUCAUUCUUUCUCUUUAACACACCAUGUUAAUAUCAUGCAUGUCAAUAAAUUUUACACUAGACUACUUGUUAUCUCUAAGACAAACAUUAUGAUAAUCCAGGAAGAAGACAAGAUGAUCAGGAAAAAACUUCAAGAACUAAAGGAAGAAGUAAGAAGCAUGUUUGUCACUACUAAUAAAUUUUCAAAAAACUAAGUUUAAUUGAUUCAAUCCAACGUUUAGGCUUGUCUUACCAUUUUGAUGAUGAAAUAAAUGAAGUUUUAAUGUUAAUGAAAAAUCCUUGCAAUGUUGACGACGAACAUGAGGAUCUUUAUAUUACGGCUCUUAGAUUCCGAUUACUGCGACAACAAGGUUUCUUUGUUUCAUGUGGUAAGUGAUCCUCUCCAAGCAAUUUUUACCAAUAUAUUUACUUUUUUCUAGUAGGAACUUUAGAUUCAAAAUAUUAACAUAUAUAACAACAUUUAAAAAAAUUGUAAAUAUAGUAAAAUCCGUCAAAACCUAUUACUGAUCAACUGCGUGUGGCAAAUAUUGGUCUAUCUAUUUUUACAAUUUCUUUAAAAAAUAUUUAUAUACUCUUAAUUAUUAUUCUUAAAAUUUCUUCCAAACUACGGCAAUACUCAUUUUUAACUCCUUACCCUUUCCAUAAAUUCUCUCAAUAUUUUGUAUUUAAUCUUAGUUUUUAAUAAUCCUUGAGCUUAGACCAUUUCUAAAGUUCAAAAGGCUCAAAAAUUGAAAUUCCAAUUUUUUUGUCUAGAGUUUACAAACGUUUAAAAAUGCAUUAUAGAUAUCUUGUUAAAAGUGUAAUAAUUUAGUAAGAUUUGGUGGAAAAAACUCAGUUAUUAACAAUCUUUUGUUGAAUUAACUUAUAAAAACAGAGAUAUUCAAUAAGUUUACGAAUGAAAGGGGAGAAUUGAAAGAAUCAAUAAGAAAGGAUGAAAAUGGUUUAUUAAGUUUGUAUGAAGCGUCCCAUUUGAGAAUGAAAGGAGAAAAUAUAUUGGAUGAAGCAUUAGCUUUCACAACUACUCAUCUUAAAGCAAUGGCCAUGGAUUCCAACUCUCCAUUCUUUGAAGAAGCAAAAUAUGCAUUGAAGUGGCCAAUUUAUAAAGCUGUGCAAAGGUUUAUGGCUAGGCACUAUAUCUCUCUUUAUAGCAACAAUCCAUUGAAGAAUAAUGCUUUGCUCACUUUUGCAAAGUUGGACUACAAUUCUCUCCAAAAACUUUACCAGAAAGAACUAAGUGAACUUUCAAGGUGAAACUUCUUAUUGAUCAGCAUGUUCCUCAAAUAGUUUAAACUUUGUUGAUUUUCACUCGCUUUUAAGACCUGUUUGGGGUAAGGAUAUUAGAGAAGAUGAGUGCUUUUCAGUAAUUUUUUUUUUAUUUAAACUCUUUUAUUGCAUUAUAAUAAAGUGUAAUAUUUUGUUUUAUUUAUAAAUAUUUUGGUUCAUUUAAACUAGAUUUGAAAACAAUCUUAAAAACUAAUCAAAUCAAAAUGUUUUGUAAACUAUCAUGUGAAAAUGUUUGGUAAACUAUUAUAAAUGGUAGUCUAGAUUGAUUUUUCUUCAAAUUAUCUUAUUAUACUUUUUAAUAGACUUAUUUUCAAAAUUAAAGGGCAGAAAAGUUAUACCGAUGACUCACCUUAAAAAUUCAAUAAUCUAAUCUUAAAGGUAAAUAUGUAGGUGGUGGAAGAAUCAAAAGUUCAUGGAGCAAUUACAUUUUGCAAGAGAUAGGGUGGUGGAGUGCUAUCUUUGGGUAAUAGAAGCAUACAAUAAACCAAACUAUUGUGCCAAUAGAAGGAUAUUUCUCAAAAUGGUUAAUUUCCUAACUAUUAUUGAUGAUAUGUAUGAUACAUAUGCUACACUUGAUGAACUUCAACUUUUCACCGAUGCAAUUCAAAGGUUUGUUUCUCGUCUCUUUUGUUUGAUUUGAUUAAUGUUUAGAUGUGUUUAAAGCUUGCCUAGCUUGCUAGUUUUGUAGUGCACUGAAUAAGAUGAUUCACUUUCAAUAUCUUCAUUUUUAGUUUAGUAGCGAUGAUUUUGUGCAAAAGAAAUUUCAAGUUUAAAUAGUUGUAAAUUUUAUUUAUUGUAAUCUGGUCAUAUAUACGUGGACCAUAUGUUGAAUAUAUUGGUGUUAGUCAUCCAAUUAGUAAUUCAUUCUCUUGUUUUAAAAUCGACAAAUAAAGAACACACAAAACAAAACAAAAAAGGUAGAAAUUGAGAAAUUGACUCACUGAUUUAUUUGUAGUAGACAAAGUAACGGUAUGCUAGUAAAGUUUCCUUUCAUCUAAAAAUAGGGUCGCUUUUAGAGUGGAAAUACAUGCAUGACCAACCAUAAAUUGUAAUGCCCUGAGUUAAAGAGAGGAACAUGAAUAAACCGAUAUCGCAGCUGAAUGAUAAACAUUAUUGUAAUGCCUUGAGUUAAAGAGAGGAACAUGAAUAAAUCGAUAUCACACCUGAAUGAGAAACGUUAUGAGAACAUGAAAGUAAGGUUAAGAAAGACUUACACAAUUUUGUCAUCAUUUUGAUAUACCAUGAUUCUUUCGUAUCAAUUCCUUAACCAAAUAUAGGACACUGUGUACCCAAAUACAAACAUGAGUGAAAAUUUAAUUUGUUAUUUAUUGCAGUAUAAUAACUUCAACGUUUUAAUUAAAAUUCAGGUGGGAUAUCAAGAGCAUUGAGAAGCUCCCAAAUUACAUGAAAGGUCUUUAUGAAGCUAUCCUUGAAUUUUUUGGAGAGAUUGAACAAGAUAUGAGCAUGGAUAAUAACAAUAUUCCAUUUGCAUUGGAUUGUGCAAAAGAAGCGGUAAAUUCUAUUAUUAUAGACUUGUAGUCUUUUUGUUUCAUAUAUAUUUUUCCUAGAAGAAGAUAGGGUUAAAGAACUAGUACACUCACAAUUAGCUUUGCUUAUAGGCUCUUUUUGAAGGUCUUGCAAGUGAGAUUCAGUAUUAAAUUGAGUAAAAAUGGCUUUACAAAGAAUUUAAACUUUGUGAGUUAUGCUAUGUUGAUCAAUUUAAUCUUAGAUCCAUACUCUUUCUAAUAUAUGUUUGGAGUUUUGGGUACAGCUAAAAAGACAAUGCAAAGCUUAUUUGGUGGAAGCAAAAUGGUUGAGUGAAGGAUAUGUGCCAACGAUGGAAGAAUACAUGAAUGUUGGCGUUGUUUCAGUUGGCACCUAUGUUACGGCUUUAGUUCCCUUCUUAGCUUUGGGAAAUGUUGCUUCAAAAGAGGUUUUCCAAUGGGUUCAAACCGAUCCAAUGCUUCUUAAAGCAGGUGGAAUAAUUGCCCGACUCAUGAAUGACAUAACUUCCCACAAGGUAAAGAAUUUAAAAUUAGAUCCAUUUUAAUUUUAAGUUCGCUUAAUUCUAAUCUCUACAUUUUCAAUAAAUAUUAAAUUUAGUUCUUGAUGCGAGAGUGUACGGGAGAGCAUUAAUUUUUUUAAAAACCUUUUUUCAACUAUAACACACUUUUUUUUACUAUAAAUUUUGAAAAUAUAUUCUCAUAUUGUUGUAUUUAUUUGCAUGAAAAAAUUAAAUUAUCGUAAGUGUUGGUGGAAAUUAAUAUUGUUUGUGAAAUGUAAGAUUUAUUUAAAGAACACAUGAAUUUCAUAUUGAUAAAAAAAAAAAAAUAAUUUGGCUACGUCUAUCCUGAACUUUGAUAUCUAUUAGAUAAAUUAAACAUGAAAUUUGGACACAAAAUUAUCUUAUUUUGGCUUUCACACCUAAACAUUUUUGUGAUUAUAUAUGUACACAGUGCCAUUUUAAAAAAUAGUAAAAUAAACUAAAUAUUUACGAUAUAUUGCAAUUUUAAAUUCUGUCAAUAAUAAAUACCGAUAGACUUUUAUCACUAUCUAUCAAUAUAACUGAUAAAAGCAUAUCAGUCUCUAUUAUUUGUAGAAUCUAAAAUUUCGCUAUAUAUUGUAAAUAUUUUAUUAAAUUUGUCAUUUUUUACAAUUUUAUAUAUAUAUUUAGUUGUUGUCAAAUAUAGAAAAUGUAAGUUUUUAAAACCAGUAGAUUUUACAAAAUAUUUACACUUUAUAGCAAAUUCUAUCAUUGAUGAUCAUUAUAUUCUAUAGUGAUAGAAUACUGUAAGUGAUAAAAUCCAAAAUUUUACUAUAGCUUGUAAAUAUUUUAAUUUAUUUUGCUAUUUUUUAAAAAAUGUUUCUAUAGAAAAAUAAAUCAAAAUAUUUACCAAAUUCUAGCAAAAUAUCAAAGUCUAUCUGCAAUAGACCCCGAUGAUUACUGUUUGUGUUAUGAUCUUAGCAUCCUCGAUAGCUUUAAUCAAUCUUUUAAAACACUUCCACCUUUUUCUUCCCUUUCCUAAUUUGUCAACUCUCCACCUUAAUUUCCUUCUUCUUAUCUUCAUCUUCCUCGUGUUUUGUUUCUUCUUCUUCAGUUGCCCAUUUAGAUCUAGGUAUAUAUAUUAUCAUAAUUUCAUGUACCCCAUUCCUUAUCAAUGAUCUAUCAUUCUUUGUUAUACUCUUCUCCUUCGUUAAAAAGUCUUUUUCCAUCUUUAUUCUUGUUAGAUUAAUUGAAGAGUAAUUGUUAGAACACUUCCUAACUUUUAUUUUUUUUGCUGGUGUAGUUUCUAUUAGUUUCUGAUAGACAUUGAUAGACUUUUACCGGUCUCUAUUAGCCGACUUUAUUUAUCUCAAUCACUAAUAAAAAUUGAUAGACUUCUAUCAACACUCCUCUAUCAAUGAUAGAUUUGUUGUAUUAGUUUAUAUCAUUAAUAGCGAUAUUGAUAGAUCACUUCUAUCAGUCUCUAUCGAUGAUAGAAUUGUAUUGGUUUCUAUCAGUUGAUAGACUUCUAUUAACCUCUAUCAAUGAUAUACUUCAACCAAUUUCUAUCAUUAAUAUCGAUAAAUACUAAUAGACUUUUAUCAACUAAAUAUUAAAGGCUAUAAACUUGUAUCCAUUUCCAUUAGUAAUAGACAUUGGUAUAGGCUUUCUCUCAGUCUCUUUUAGUGAUAGACUUAUGUAAGUUUUUAUCACUGAUAGACACCGAUAGAUUUCUAUUAGUCUCUAUCAACAACAAAUUGCAUGUAUCGUUGAUAAACACAAUGGUAAUAAAAGCUAAUAGACUUCUAUCAAUCUCUAUUAAUUAUAGACUCUUAUGCUAAUAUUAUCACUGAUAGACUUCUAUCAGGCUCUAAUGAUAAAAUUCUAUUAGUUUCUAUCAUUUUAAUAGACAGUGAUAAAUUUCUAUCAGUAUCUACCAAUGAUAAAUAUUGAUAAAAAAAUUUCAAUCUUUAUCACUAGAAACUAAUGGUGGUCUAUCAACGUGUCUAUCUGAUAUAGACAUUGAUAGAACCCUCUAAACGUCUAACUAAAGCAAUUGAAACCAUCAAAUCAAUCCGAUAAUCAAACUAAACUCAAAACAAAACAAACAUCAACACACAAAACCAACAUCAAACACCAAACCAACAACUACCCAAUGCAAUAGCUAGAGCCCUAAGACAAACGCAAUCCCAUUCAUAACAAACAUAUAUCAUUAUAGAUAUAGCAUUUAUGUACAUAUUACCAAGACUCAUGAUAGACAAUCACUGAUAGAAGAUUUCAAUUGUGAUAGACAUUGAUAGCACACUAUGAGUGUUUAUUUGAGAUUAACAUCAAUAAAAUACUAUCUGUCUAUCAAUAAUAGACAUGCUCUAUCACAAGUAUUUUUAUACCUUUGGUUGUACUUUUCCGUGUUCCUUUUUAGUUUUAUAUCUUUUGGUUUUUUUGAAUGGUUCUCCCUUUAAUUAACAUGUUUCCUUUAAUUAUUGUUUCCAUUUCUGUAAACAAAACACAGUUGUGAUGUAAAAGACUAAGAUUGGAAAUUAAAUAAUACCUCAAACAAAAUGUACAAAGAACUUACUUUGAAUGCUAGAGAGAUAAAUAGCUAAAAAUAUCAAAAGAGAGUGAACAAAAAUAAAAAUCAUUGAAAACAAUGCUAAAAUUGUAUUAAACAACCUAACUCAGUCUUCGUCAAUAACAACCAUAAUCAAGAUCGAAUAGAGGUUAUUCUACGAAAAUAACGCAGAAAGAAAAAUUUUGAGCUGGAACGUGGUUUUUCUUUGACUAAAAAGUACUAGAAAACAAUUAGAAAAAAACAUUUCGAUUGAAUAAACAUCUCAAGAUGAAUAAUCAGCAAAAGAAAAAAAAAAAACUUAAAAAGAGAACAAUGUGACAAGAAUAUUUAGCUCGACCAAACCCAAAACAAUUACGAAAGAAGCUGCAGACCACAAAAAUUGAAACUAAAGAUUAGUAUAAAGCAGUUGUGGAAAAAGAAGAAACUUUGGGGUCUGUGGUGGAAAAAAGAAGAAACGACUGGUGGAAAGUAGAAGAGGAAGAUUGAGGAGAAAAAUAGUAUAAAUGAAGAAGAACGGUCAUUGCGUGCAUUGAAUGGAAAUUUUAGUUUGAAAAUGAAAAAAAAUCCAGGAGAAAAUCGUGAUGAAUUGUGGAUCAUGCGGGUAGGGUCGGGUCUUGUGAAGGAAAAUUGUGACAUAUUUUUUGCAAUUUUUUUAUAAAUGUUGCUAUAUCAUUAAUUACUAUUCCUCACAUGGUCAUCCAUUAUAAUUAUCCAUUUUAUGGGACUGUUGUUUAAAUAAUUUGUGUAUUCUUCUAUAUUUAAAAAUCUCCUUUAUUAAACUUAUUAUAUUUAUUAAUAAAAGAUAUUUGUAUGUUUUCGUGCUUAAUUUUUAGUUUGGACAAGAGAGAGAACAUGUGGUUUGUGCAGUUGAGUGCUACAUGAAGCAAUAUGGAGUAACAGAAGGAGAGGCCAUAGUUGAACUAAACAAGGAAGUGGUAGAAGCAUGGAAAAGUAUGAUACAAGAUCAUAUUCACACGAAAGUUUGUACCAAGUUUCCAGAUGUGAUCCUUCACUUGGGGUUGAAUCUUGCUCGAGUAACAAACUUUUAUUAUAAAGAACGAGAUGCUUUCACUUUCGUUGAAGGAGAAACUAAACAUCUUAUCACCUCUUCGCUCACCAUGCCAAUUUGAUCCUAUCUGUAAUAUAGUUUCUUGUUUUUAUGAAAUAUAAGUGUUGACAAACACAUAAAUAUGAUUAAAAUAAUGUUUUUAUUGAAGAUAAUGUAUUAUACAUGUCCUUUAAUUGUUAUAUGAAGUUUAAGAAAAUUAUCAUGUUUAAUAUAUUUUUUUUGUUUAAGUUUUCAACAUACUUGGUUAUUAUGUCAUGAAUUCAAAUUUUCAAAAUAUGUAUGAAGCUAUGUGAUUCAAACAUGUAAAAUGUUGACUGAAUAAUACUAUCUCUCUCUUACACAAUCUAUUUGUAUUAUUGAAAUUAUAUGUAGGACUAACCGUACCCUUAUAUUUUUGUUAACCUCUCUGUUAGUUAAGGUUUAUUCUCUUUUAUUUGUACUCAAGGAGUUGUGUAUGUAAGUGUAUGAGUCAUGAUUAAAAAGAUAAUAUUGAUGAGUCACGUUAAUGCAAAUAUUAAAUUUAAAAUAAUUAAAACCUUUGACAUUAUUAUUAUUAUUAUUUUAAAGAAAUAAAAAAAAUAUGUAGUAUAAAAAUAGGUGGAUUGAAAAUGCAGAGAAACAACAAGAUUUCAAGAAGUGGAGCAAAAUUGGCGACUGGAUUCGGUGGGAAGAUCAGGAGAGAUUGGUAGAACAGAAGAACAAGAGAGAUUCAUGUGGAGUUUAUCCAGGAAAUAAGAGGGAACAAGAAGGUCUCAUGCAAAUGAAAGGGUAAAUUGAAAGGGUUUGCGUGAGAAAUCGAAGGGUGAAGUGAACUUUGGGGAAAGUUUUUAUUUUAAUAAAACAUAUUAAUUUAUUUAUUGUUUUUAUAUUUUUAUGACAACAAAAAAAAACUCUUACAGAAAGGUGGAAUCACAAAACAUUUUUUUCUGCCUAAAACGCGAAUUUUGACAUUUAUGACAUUUUUUUUCUUUCCUCCUUUCAAUUUGGAUUGUAGUGAGGUGUCAUGAAAGGUUACUUUUUUUUUAUAGUGUGAGUUAUUUUGAAUUGAAGGGUAUGAUGAAUGGAUGCGAACAAACUGAGAGAGGAAUGGGACAUGACGAAGAGGACAACUUAUAUAUAUUUGCUCGGAUGGGACGUGAGGGAUCUACGACAAGCUGAGAGCCACAGAUCCAUUAGACAAAGUGGUGGAUGAAGACAACAUAUGUGAGAGAGAGGGGGAAAGGGUAAAAUAAAAGAUGACAUGAAUUUAUAAACAUGGAUAUAUAUGAAAGUAUUAUGUUUAUAUAUAUAUUUUAAUGAAUUCUGGAUAAUAUUAAAAAAAUGAAUUAAUUGGAUCAACAAAUUAAAAAAUGGACAUUUUUUAAAAAUAGUAAAAUAAAUUAAAAUAUCUAUAAGCUAUACCAAAAUUUUAGAUUCUAUCACUCAUGAUUUUCUGUCACUAUAGCAUAUCAAUGACUAUCAGUGAUAGAAUUUGCUAUAUGUUGUAAAUAUUUUUUAAAAUUUGCUGUUUUUGAAAAUUUUCCAUUAAAAAACCUAUUUUAAAAAGAGUUCAAAGAUAUAAACACAUAGUGAAUUGAAAACAUAAAAUAGAAUUCAAACUGUAUAUAUGUCAAAGUGAAGGGUGAUUUAUUUGUCUGAUUUGAAAGUAUUGACUCGUAUGAUUAUUGAAUAAAAUUCAAAUAUUAUAUAAAACAAUAAAAACCAAGAUCUUUGAACUUGAUAAAAUUUCACAUUAUAUAAACACCAGUUAAAGUGAUAAGCAAAAUAACAAAAUGUGAAAAAAUGCAUUAUUUUUUAUUUUUUAUUUUCAACACUUAAUAGGUUAAAAGCGUCAAGAUUAGUUUUAAUUACUUCACAUUCAGUUCGAACUUUAGAUUUAAAAUAUUAGCAUAUAUAACAACAUUUUAAAAAAAAUUACAAAUAUAUAGUAAAAUUCGUCAAAGUCUUUCACUGAUGGACUGUGUUGCAAAUAUUGGUCUAUCUAUAUUUAUAAUUUUUUUUUAAAUAUUACUAUACAUUUAGUUAUUAUUCCUAAAAUUGCUAUCAAUUAUAACUCUAUUUAAAAAUUAAUUUCAUAGACUUUGUAUAAAUUCUCAAGAUAUUUUGUAUUUAAUAUAUUUUCUUUAAUAAACCUUGAAUUUAAACCAUUUCUAAAGUUCAAAAGGCUCCAAAAUUGAAAUUCCAAUUUUUUUGAAUAUUCAUAACAUAAAGACGUAUUAUAGAUAACUUUGUAAAAGUGUAAUAAUUUAGUAAUAGAGUUAUUAAAAUCCUUUUGUUGAACUUUAAACAGAGAUAUUCAAUAAGUUUACAAAUGAAAGGGGAGAAUUCAAAGAAUCAAUUAGAAAGGAUGAAAAAAAUUGUUUUCAAAACUAAAUGUUAGAAAGGUUAAACCAAACACCCCACUACCUUACAAAAUCAAUAAUAUAAUUUUGUGAAUGUAAAUAUGUUAGGCGGUGGAAUAAGCAUAAGUUCGUGUAAUAAUUACAUUUUGCAAGGCAUAGGGUGGUGGAGUGCUAUCUUUGGGCAUUAUUGGAAGCAUAUCUAUUUAAUUCCUAUUUCAACCAAAUCAAAUAAUCUUUACAAUAAACGUCCAAUAAAUUAAAUAUAAUUAAAUAAAGCUAAGAUAAUUAUCUCUAAAAAUUAUCUUAGAUUUUAAGCGCGUUGCAGCUCGAGAGCACGAUAGAUUGGAGUACUUCCUUA